UCUUUUUGGAAGCACUUUUGGGCCCACCUCCCAUCCGUGUCUAUUAUACCCUGUUGCUUCGGCGGGCCCGCCGCUUGUCGGCCGCCGGGGGGGCGCCUUUGCCCCCCGGGCCCGUGCCCGCCGGAGACCCCAACACGAACACUGUCUGAAAGCGUGCAGUCUGAGUUGAUUGAAUGCAAUCAGUUAAAACUUUCAACAAUGGAUCUCUUGGUUCCGGCAUCGAUGAAGAACGCAGCGAAAUGCGAUAACUAAUGUGAAUUGCAGAAUUCAGUGAAUCAUCGAGUCUUUGAACGCACAUUGCGCCCCCUGGUAUUCCGGGGGGCAUGCCUGUCCGAGCGUCAUUGCUGCCCUCAAGCCCGGCUUGUGUGUUGGGUCGCCGUCCCCCUCUCCGGGGGGACGGGCCCGAAAGGCAGCGGCGGCACCGCGUCCGAUCCUCGAGCGUAUGGGGCUUUGUCACAUGCUCUGUAGGAUUGGCCGGCGCCUGCCGACGUUUUCCAACCAUUUUUUCCAGGUUGACCUCGGAUCAGGUAGGGAUACCCGCUGAACUUAAGCAUAUCAAUAGCCGGGAGGAAAAUAACGAUUGCG
rnacentral:rRNA from 1 species